CGUAGGGUGCGAGCGUUGUCCGGAUUUAUUGGGCGUAAAGGGCUCGUAGGUGGUUGUUCGCGUCGGAAGUGUAAUCUUGGGGCUUAACCCUGAGCGUGCUUUCGAUACGGGUUGACUUGAGGAAGGUAGGGGAGAAUGGAAUUCCUGGUGGAGCGGUGGAAUGCGCAGAUAUCAGGAGGAACACCAGUGGCGAAGGCGGUUCUCUGGGCCUUUCCUGACGCUGAGGAGCGAAAGCGUGGGGAGCGAACAGGCUUAGACACCCUGGUAGUCCACGCUGUAAACGGUGGGUACUAGGUGUGGGGGUCCAUUCCACGGGUUCCGUGCCGUAGCUAACGCUUUAAGUACCCCGCCUGGGGAGUACGGCCGCAAGGCUA
rnacentral:rRNA from 1 species